GAUGAAGAACGCAGCGAAAUGCGAUAAGUAAUGUGAAUUGCAGAAUUCAGUGAAUCAUCGAAUCUUUGAACGCACAUUGCGCCCGUCAGUAUUCUGGCGGGCAUGCCUGUUCGAGCGUCAUUACGCCCCUCAAGUCCCCUGUGGACUAGGUGUUGGGGAUCGGCGAGGCUGGUUUUCCAGCACAGCCGUCCCUUAAAUUAAUUGGCGGUCUCGCCGUGGCCCUCCUCUGCGCAGUAGUAAAACACUCGCAACAGGAGCCCGGCGCGGUCCACUGCCGUAAAACCCCCCAACUUUUUAUAGUUGACCUCGAAUCAGGUAGGACUACCCGCUGAACUUAAGCAUAUCAAUAAGCGGAGGA
rnacentral:misc_RNA from 1 species